rnacentral:rRNA from 1 species
UUAACGCUGGCGGCGUGCCUAAUACAUGCAAGUCGAAUGGUAGUAGCAAUACAAACCAUGGCGAACGGGUGAGUAACACGUAGGCAACCUGACUUUAAGACGAGGAUAACCGUUGGAAACGACGGAUAAUACUGGAUAGGACAUCACAAAGGGCAUCCUUAGAUGUUUAAAGGUUAUCAUGCCACUUAGAGAGGGGCCUGCGGCGCAUUAGCUAGUUGGUGAGAUAACAGCCCACCAAGGCGAUGAUGCGUAGCCGGACUGAGAGGUUGAACGGCCACAAUGGAACUGAGAACGGUCCAUACUCCUACGGGAGGCAGCAGUAGGGAAUUUUCGGCAAUGGGCGCAAGCCUGACCGAAGCAACGCCGCGUGAACGAAGAAGUUAUUCGUAAUGUAAAGUUCUUUUAUCUGGGAAGAAAAACAAUUGACGGUACCAGAUGAAUAAGCUCCGGCUAACUACGUGCCAGCAGCAGC